rnacentral:rRNA from 1 species
AUGCCAAUGGCACUGCCCGGUAGCUAAAUGCGGAAGAGAUAAGUGCUGAAAGCAUCUAAGCACGAAACUUGCCCCGAGAUGAGUUCUCCCUGAGACUAUAAGUCUCCUGAAGGAACGUUGAAGACGACGACGUUGAUAGGCCGGGUGUGUAAGCGCAGCGAUGCGUUGAGCUAACCGGUACUAAUGAACCGUGAGGCUUAACCUUACAACGCCGAAG